UGGGAUAAACACUACAAAGGGGCCACUAGGAUUGUCGCACCUACUAAGGCUCCUAUCCCAGUAGAAUGGAAUAAAUAUGUUGAGGGAGAAAAUGAUGAUGAGAUCCCUUGGUGGAAAGUUCCCCACGUCUUGCUCCCAUGUGCAUUGGGAAAUAAGCACUGGAUCCUUGCCAAGAUAUGCUUGAAUGAUAGAAAAGUUGUUAUAUAUGACUCCUGUGCUUGGUCUGGCGAAAACAGGGGGUCAAGAGCCCGAUCUAUCAAGCCUUUGCUUUGCAUCCUUCCAAUUCUCCUCGCUCGUAGUGCAUAUUAUCAGCAUGCAUCUACGCCUAAGCGUUCAUAUAAAGCUUUCGAUGUGGAAAGCCUGGAUCCCUCAGUUGUGCCUUUGCCUCAACAAUCGGAUGAGUACGGCAUUUGUUUAAUUUAAUCCUUAUAUUGUCAAUAGAAAACAUUCAUAGGUUGUCAUUCCACAUCGUGACAUUAAAUUGUACUUUGUACAGGAGUAACUGCGGUUGCUUCGUGAUAAAGUACGUUGAGGAUAUAUUGAGGCAUGCAGAUAAUGAAUGAGUGACCAAACAGAUGGAGAAGGAUGUUCGUACCCUCCGAAAGAAAAUAGCAUUUUAUUUGUAUAGGAAUAGCAAUGUAGUUGAUGGUUAAAUGUUGCAAAGGGAUUUUAACAUGCUCACAUCAUUGUUAUGAUUCCACCAAUGAGAAACUAGGUAAAACCCUACCUGGCUGAUGGAAGAUUGUUGAGAAGGAAGACGGGGGACUUCUUGCCAGAAAAUCAAUCAUUCAAGGAAGACAUUUAUUGGAAAUGAGCGUGACAAGGAAUCAAAAAAGUUAGAACUACCGAAAAUAACUGAGGCGGCCGAACAGAUAUGUAAAGGUGGUAUAAAGAAGGAGCUUGUUGCGGCAAAGAAGAAGGUGCAAACGCUAGAUCAUAUAGAACCAGCUUGUUCAGGCUCAGCCUAUGCUGACUGGUAUUGUCAAGAUCUUGAUGUCACGAGAGAUUGGGUUGGCAUGGCAGGUCGGUCUCUGUCCGACUUGGAGUUCGGCUCGUGAGAUUGGCUGGAAUUUUGUGGAUUCCAGCAAUGGUUUUAAUGUUUAUAGUGCUGGAACUGUGGUUUUAAUGUUUAAUGUUUUUAGAGCUUCCCGUAACUGUGGUUUUAAUGGUGAUCUUGAUGUCAUAUAGAACCA